CGAUAAAGUUCUGAGUGGAGCCCGGAGAUGAUUUGUCAGCUCUUUGGGACGUCCUCACCGCUCGCAUUCUGCAAACAGCUGCUUCUGAUGCAGCCAUUUGUUUCUUUGCCUGCUCUUGACCCCGCGAGGCGGAUUCAAGCUACAGCAUGGAGGAAUGGUUUAGGAACAUAUACAGUGUGCCUCCUGUUGACCAGACUCACAGAGUCAACUGGAGCCAGAGCAGAUGAGCGUCCUUUUAUCCAAUCAGAGGGGCUCAACCUGAGUGACUGGGACGCUGGUGGCCAUUCAUAGCCUGCUGAUCAUCACCUGCUUCACGGUCUCCAAGGUCUCUGUCCUUUCCUUCACCCACUCCCUUCCCUUCGUUAUUAAAGCUUGUUAGAAACAUACCUAUGCUGUCAGCAUCUUUUCUGGGUCCGGCCUCUUAUCUCACCAGAAGACAAAGAGACACUGUGUAAAACAGAGAAAAAGACGACCAGUAGCAGAAAUCUCGCGCAUAUUAUAUUGUAUCUCCAACGUGAUGUGGGUCAUAAGCACUUUGUUAGUUCUAUAUGGAUGAAGUACAUACAGAUUCAAAGAAGGCGAAAUGAGUAGAAUUCUGCUGGAUCUGAGAUGAGAGCAAUGAAUCACCUCCAGAUUAAAUCUGGACCCUAAUAAGGGAGAUUUUAUUAGUAAAGUAUGUAAGAAAUCGCUCACAUUUUUCAGGGGAUGAUUUGAUAUUAUGGCUGGCAGGGGAGGCGGUGACAGAUUGAGUUACGCUGAAUAAGACUCCGGAGCGAUGGCGCAUCUCUGAGAUGAAAUCUGGGAAAUAGGACGAUCUUGCUCCUUUACCAGUCGUCUGUUGACAGUUUUGAAUGAAGCGUCUCAAAAUUCUCUAAAGCGACUCGUGGUUUAUUUGUGCUGCCUGAUCGCGGCGCCUUCCUGGAGAUACUUCAUGACCCAAGUGCGUUCGUCAAACUCGGCGUGGGGUUUGUUUGUAAAGUGCCUCCCUCCAGGACGCCGCCGCCGCCGAGCCGCAGUUGUACCACGUCCGGCCGCCAGACCUUUUGUGCUACAAGGGGAUCUGGCAGCUUGUCCCCCAGGAGCCAUUCAUUUCCUAAGCCAAUAUCGCAGACUCUCUCCUUGAUGAACCAUAUGCCGCAAGAAGAAGUUUGUGAUUUGUUUAACAUCCACCUCUCCCUCUCCUCUAGGAACGACAGAAAAAAAACAUUUGGCUACCUUUGCCACCGCUAACGCCAAUAACGCCGACAAGGACAGAGACUUUAUUCCGAGCCGUGCCCACACGCAUUUGUUUUCCACCACAGACCAAAACCCAUUAAAACACUCCGAGCCCAUUUCUUGUCUUACAGCUGUACGGAUGCGGGUGAUGCAUGUGCGUCUGUGUGCAUAUUCAUGCGCUUAUGUACGCUCGGUUUAACCGUGCUUAGAGUAUGUCAGAGGGUCUGGAGUGUAGAGAGGCAGGGAGGGUAUGUGAUGUUCUAAAAUGAGUGGCCCGGUGAGGAAAACAAUAAAGCACGAAUGACAGGAACAGAUGGUCGUCUUUAUUGUCCCCAGAAAUGCAAACACUGAAUAUCUUUACUUGGUGGGUGGCAUUAUUAUAUAUUUAUUUCCUCCCUCCUGUCCCUCUUACUGCUAAUAGCGCCGGUGGCUGGCACCCGCCCAUGUUUAAGACUAAAAGAGGCAGUAAAGGGCUGGAGACAGAUGUUUCUUGUUGGUUGUACAGUAUGUAAUGGUCAGUGACACAGGAUGAAAAAUGGUGGCACCCUGUUAGUCAGGAGAUCCACAUGACAUCACUCCUGCAUGAUGUGUUGUGUCUAAUUCUAAAAAAAAAUAAAAAUAAAUAAAAACAAAAAACCUUGACACCUUCCAAAUUAUUUUCCCACAGAAAACAAGUUUUCAUGAUCAAAACGUUGUGAAUGAACAAAAUCAUUCCGUCCCAGCAUGAGUCAGUGAGAAAUCUUCCAAGCAGCGCUGGACUUCAGAAACAAAUGAUUUCCUCUAUAUUAAGUCCUAUUUGCCACCUGUUCUGCGUUUGAAGCUUCUACGAUGUAAUCAAAGA